rnacentral:rRNA from 1 species
GAUGAACGCUGGCGGCGUGCCUAAUACAUGCAAGUCGAGCGAACAGACGAGGAGCUUGCUCCUCUGACGUUAGCGGCGGACGGGUGAGUAACACGUGGAUAACCUACCUAUAAGACUGGGAUAACUUCGGGAAACCGGAGCUAAUACCGGAUAAUAUAUUGAACCGCAUGGUUCAAUAGUGAAAGACGGUUUUGCUGUCACUUAUAGAUGGAUCCGCGCCGCAUUAGCUAGUUGGUAAGGUAACGGCUUACCAAGGCAACGAUGCGUAGCCGACCUGAGAGGGAGAUCGGCCACACGGGAACUGAGACACGGUCCAGACUCCUACGGGAGGCAGCAGUAGGGAAUCUUACGCAAUGGGCGAAAGCUUGACGGAGCAACGCCGCGUGAGUGAUGAAGGUCUUCGGAUCGUAAAACUCUGUUAUUAGGGAAGAACAAAUGUGUAAGUAACUAUGCACGUCUUGACGGUACCUAAUCAGAAAGCCACGGCUAACUACGUG